AACACAAUGCAUGUCAAAACCAUAGAUGAUCCCCUCUAUAACAAGGAUACACCGCAGACUUUGCUAAGGUUUUUGAAGCGACAACGUGACAAAAAGCUAAUACUUUGGCCUUACAACUUCGAGUUUCACUUUAUUCUUCUCGUCAUCAAUUUGGAAAUUGGAGAAGUUGAAGUCUUGGACUCACUAACCAAAGAAAAGGAUCUAUACGUGUCUUGUUUUUUAAUGCUCAGAAGGUAAUUUGAAUUCUUAUCGGUUUGUUUCGUUAAUUUCCUGCUUUGAACUAAUUGAUGACUCUUUUAUGCAUUUUCUUUUGUCGAGCAGCGUAUGGCAAACUUUCAUCAAGGAAGAUACGUCCCGUGAAUGGCCACCGAAGCUGCGAUGGCGUGCGAAAAAAUGCCCGCAACAACCUCCGGGGACCGAUCUCUGUGGAUUCUUCGUUUGCGAGUUCAUCCGCAGAAUUGUCAACGAGAGAACGAAUAAUGAGAGAAAUAAAGAGGUACAAAAACAAUCUUCACAAAUUUGUUUUGUUAUCAUAAGUUGUGCCGAGUUUCAGUAAUAGUUGUUUCAUGUAUUCAUUUGUAUCUUAUUCUUUUAUAGUUGGCAAGAAAGCGGAACAAGCUCUCAAUCGAUGACCGCUUCAUAGCAAUAGGCGAGGAAU